rnacentral:rRNA from 1 species
UCCACGGGAGGCAGCAGUGGGGAAUAUUGCACAAUGGGCGCAAGCCUGAUGCAGCCAUGCCGCGUGUAUGAAGAAGGCCUUCGGGUUGUAAAAGUACUUUCAGCAGUGAGGAAGGUGGGUAUGUUAAUAGCAUAUCAUUUGACGUUAGCUGCAGAAGAAGCACCGGCUAACUCCGUGCCAGCAGCCGCGGUAAUACGGAGGGUGCGAGCGUUAAUCGGAAUUACUGGGCGUAAAGCGCAUGCAGGUGGUUUGUUAAGUCAGAUGUGAAAGCCCGGGGCUCAACCUCGGAAUUGCAUUUGAAAACUGGCAAACUAGAGUACUGUAGAGGGGGUAGAAUUUCAGGUGUAGCGGUGAAAUGCGUAGAGAUCUGAAGGAAUACCGGUGGCGAAGGCGGCCCCCUGGACAGAUACUGACACUCAGAUGCGAAAGCGUGGGGAGCAAACAGGAUUAGAUACCCUGGUAG